rnacentral:rRNA from 1 species
GGUUAAGCGACUAAGCGUACACGGUGGAUGCCCUGGCAGUCAGAGGCGAUGAAGGACGUGCUAAUCUGCGAUAAGCGUCGGUAAGGUGAUAUGAACCGUUAUAACCGGCGAUUUCCGAAUGGGGAAACCCAGUGUGAUUCGUCACACUAUCAUUAACUGAAUCCAUAGGUUAAUGAGGCGAACCGGGGGAACUGAAACAUCUAAGUACCCCGAGGAAAAGAAAUCAACCGAGAUUCCCCCAGUAGCGGCGAGCGAACGGGGAGGAGCCCAGAGCCUGAAUCAGUGUGUGUGUUAGUGGAAGCGUCUGGAAAGGCGCGCGAUACAGGGUGACAGCCCCGUACACAAAAAUGCACAUGCUGUGAGCUCGAUGAGUAGGGCGGGACACGUGGUAUCCUGUCUGAAUAUGGGGGGACCAUCCUCCAAGGCUAAAUACUCCUGACUGACCGAUAGUGAACCAGUACCGUGAGGGAAAGGCGAAAAGAACCCCGGCGAGGGGAGUGAAAAAGAACCUGAAACCGUGUACGUACAAGCAGUGGGAGCACGCUUAGGCGUGUGACUGCGUACCUUUUGUAUAAUGGGUCAGCGACUUAUAUUCUGUAGCAAGGUUAACCGAAUAGGGGAGCCGAAGGGAAACCGAGUCUUAACUGGGCGUUAAGUUGCAGGGUAUAGACCCGAAACCCGGUGAUCUAGCCAUGGGCAGGUUGAAGGUUGGGUAACACUAACUGGAGGACCGAACCGACUAAUGUUGAAAAAUUAGCGGAUGACUUGUGGCUGGGGGUGAAAGGCCAAUCAAACCGGGAGAUAGCUGGUUCUCCCCGAAAGCUAUUUAGGUAGCGCCUCGUGAAUUCAUCUCCGGGGGUAGAGCACUGUUUCGGCAAGGGGGUCAUCCCGACUUACCAACCCGAUGCAAACUGCGAAUACCGGAGAAUGUUAUCACGGGAGACACACGGCGGGUGCUAACGUCCGUCGUGAAGAGGGAAACAACCCAGACCGCCAGCUAAGGUCCCAAAGUCAUGGUUAAGUGGGAAACGAUGUGGGAAGGCCCAGACAGCCAGGAUGUUGGCUUAGAAGCAGCCAUCAUUUAAAGAAAGCGUAAUAGCUCACUGGUCGAGUCGGCCUGCGCGGAAGAUGUAACGGGGCUAAACCAUGCACCGAAGCUGCGGCAGCGACGCUUAUGCGUUGUUGGGUAGGGGAGCGUUCUGUAAGCCUGUGAAGGUGUGCUGUGAGGCAUGCUGGAGGUAUCAGAAGUGCGAAUGCUGACAUAAGUAACGAUAAAGCGGGUGAAAAGCCCGCUCGCCGGAAGACCAAGGGUUCCUGUCCAACGUUAAUCGGGGCAGGGUGAGUCGACCCCUAAGGCGAGGCCGAAAGGCGUAGUCGAUGGGAAACAGGUUAAUAUUCCUGUACUUGGUGUUACUGCGAAGGGGGGACGGAGAAGGCUAUGUUGGCCGGGCGACGGUUGUCCCGGUUUAAGCGUGUAGGCUGGUUUUCCAGGCAAAUCCGGAAAAUCAAGGCUGAGGCGUGAUGACGAGGCACUACGGUGCUGAAGCAACAAAUGCCCUGCUUCCAGGAAAAGCCUCUAAGCAUCAGGUAACAUCAAAUCGUACCCCAAACCGACACAGGUGGUCAGGUAGAGAAUACCAAGGCGCUUGAGAGAACUCGGGUGAAGGAACUAGGCAAAAUGGUGCCGUAACUUCGGGAGAAGGCACGCUGAUAUGUAGGUGAAGUCCCUCGCGGAUGGAGCUGAAAUCAGUCGAAGAUACCAGCUGGCUGCAACUGUUUAUUAAAAACACAGCACUGUGCAAACACGAAAGUGGACGUAUACGGUGUGACGCCUGCCCGGUGCCGGAAGGUUAAUUGAUGGGGUCAGCGCAAGCGAAGCUCUUGAUCGAAGCCCCGGUAAACGGCGGCCGUAACUAUAACGGUCCUAAGGUAGCGAAAUUCCUUGUCGGGUAAGUUCCGACCUGCACGAAUGGCGUAAUGAUGGCCAGGCUGUCUCCACCCGAGACUCAGUGAAAUUGAACUCGCUGUGAAGAUGCAGUGUACCCGCGGCAAGACGGAAAGACCCCGUGAACCUUUACUAUAGCUUGACACUGAACAUUGAGCCUUGAUGUGUAGGAUAGGUGGGAGGCUUUGAAGUGUGGACGCCAGUCUGCAUGGAGCCGACCUUGAAAUACCACCCUUUAAUGUUUGAUGUUCUAACGUGGACCCGUAAUCCGGGUUGCGGACAGUGUCUGGUGGGUAGUUUGACUGGGGCGGUCUCCUCCUAAAGAGUAACGGAGGAGCACGAAGGUUGGCUAAUCCUGGUCGGACAUCAGGAGGUUAGUGCAAUGGCAUAAGCCAGCUUGACUGCGAGCGUGACGGCGCGAGCAGGUGCGAAAGCAGGUCAUAGUGAUCCGGUGGUUCUGAAUGGAAGGGCCAUCGCUCAACGGAUAAAAGGUACUCCGGGGAUAACAGGCUGAUACCGCCCAAGAGUUCAUAUCGACGGCGGUGUUUGGCACCUCGAUGUCGGCUCAUCACAUCCUGGGGCUGAAGUAGGUCCCAAGGGUAUGGCUGUUCGCCAUUUAAAGUGGUACGCGAGCUGGGUUUAGAACGUCGUGAGACAGUUCGGUCCCUAUCUGCCGUGGGCGCUGGAGAAUUGAGGGGGGCUGCUCCUAGUACGAGAGGACCGGAGUGGACGCAUCACUGGUGUUCGGGUUGUCAUGCCAAUGGCACUGCCCGGUAGCUAAAUGCGGAAGAGAUAAGUGCUGAAAGCAUCUAAGCACGAAACUUGCCCCGAGAUGAGUUCUCCCUGACUCCUUGAGAGUCCUGAAGGAACGUUGAAGACGACGACGUUGAUAGGCCGGGUGUGUAAGCGCAGCGAUGCGUUGAGCUAACCGGUACUAAUGAACCGUGAGGCUUAACCUU